UGUCUUGGAAUGACGUAAAACUUAGCCAACCUGUGAGACUGUAACACUCGUAAAAAAACGUA
rfam:Peptoniphilus asaccharolyticus DSM 20463 genome assembly, contig: Pasa20463_Contig222